AAAGGAGGGGCAAUACCGAAUAUUGUCCGGAACCGUGAAGGGUUUCGGGGAAAGGGAGGCCUCUGACACAAGCUUUCGCCUUAAGAUGAGCCCAUGGCCCAUCAGCUAGUUGGUAGGGUAAAGGCCUACCAAGGCUACGACGGGUCGCUGGUCUGAGAGGACGACCAGCCACACUGGCACUGAGAUACGGGCCAGACUCCUACGGGAGGCAGCAGUGAGGAAUAUUGCGCAAUGGGGGAAACCCUGACGCAGCAACGCCGCGUGUGGGAAGAAGGCCUUCGGGUCGUAAACCACUUUUACUCGGGACGAAAAAGGGAUAUCAAACAAAUAUCCCCGAUGACGGUACCGUGAGAAUAAGCCACGGCUAACUCUGUGCCAGCAGCCGCGGUAAGACAGAGGUGGCAAGCGUUGUUCGGAAUUACUGGGCGUAAAGAGUCUGUAGGUGGUUUGUCAAGUCUUUGGUGAAAGGCCGUAGCUUAACUAUGGGAAUGCCAAAGAGACUGGCAGGCUGGAGGCUGGGAGAGGGAAGCGGAAUUUCUGGUGUAGCGGUGAAAUGCGUAGAUAUCAGAAGGAAGGCCGGUGGCGAAGGCGGCUUCCUGGAACAGUCCUGACACUGAGAGACGAAAGCGUGGGGAGCAACAGGAUUAGAUACCCUGGUAGUCCACGCCCUAAACGAUGGGUACUAAGUGUGGAGGGGUUAAACCCUCCGUGCCGCAGCAAACGCAGUAAGUACCCCGCCUGGGGAGUACGGCCGCAAGGUUGAAACUCAAAGGAAUUGACGG
rnacentral:rRNA from 1 species